rnacentral:rRNA from 1 species
CUAACGGCUGAACCAGCACUUGGAAGAAUGUAUAGCAAUUGCUAAUUGUUUCUCCUUUAAAUGGAACAAUAUCGAUUUGAUCGAAUAAAAUUCUGGGUAAAAUUAUGAUAAUGACAUUGUUUACUCAUGAGUCUUGACCAAGUUACGUGCCAGCAGUCGCGGUAAUACGUAGAAGACAAGUGUUAUUCAUCUUUAAUGGGUUUAAAGGGUACCUAGACGGUGUAUUAAGCCUCAAAAGGAACUGAUAUACUAGAGUUACUUAUGAGGAAGUUCUAAAGUACUAGAGGAGUAGAGAUAAAAUUCAAUAAUACCUUUUUUUUAUAAAAAACUUCGGCACAGGUAUAGGUGAAAACAUCUUCUUAUGGGAUAACUGACGUUGAGGGACGAAGGCUUUUAAUCGUGAACAGGAUUAGAGACCCUGGUAAUGGAAGCAGAAAACGCUGAGUGUCAUAGAUUAGAUAAAUAUUUACUCUAUAAAUGAAAGUGUAAGCACUCCACCUCAAGAGUAAUUUGGCAACAUUGGAACUGAAAUCAUUAGACCGUAUUUGAAACCAGUAGUGAUGUAUGUUAUUUAAUUUGAUAAUCCGCAAAAAACCUUACCACAACUUGAAUGCCUAUAUAUUUAUUUUUAUUAUAUUUUUGUGUGUAGUUUUUUGUAUAACUUAAACUACACAUUAUACAAUAAUAUCAUAAGGUAAAAUCAUAGGUACAAGUGUUGCACGGCUGUCUACAGUUAAUGUCGUCAGACUAUGGUUAGUUCCAUUAAAUUAACGUAAACCCUUGCUCUAUUUUUAAAUAGAGUAGUUCUCCACUAUAUUGGAUAAGAUAACA